UCGUCGUAUUUGUGGAUGAGGCGCUCGAACUCGCGGUAGAUGCUGUUGGCCAGGCCCGAGACCCGCUCGGACAUGACCGACACAGAGCAGUCAUCCUGGUAAACCACCCCAUCGUCUAGCUCCAUCAUCUUUGGUGCAACUUCAUAUUACUCCUUUAAUGCUUCUGCCAAAGGACAUGAUGAGUCUUACUCAAAGGAUUGGGUGUCCAGGAACUACGCAAAAGGACUUCAGCAAGAAGCCUGCUUUUCAUUUAUUCUGACUAAUCUGGGAUCAGAACAACAACACUCCACAGAUAUGGGACAUGAAACUGGAAGAUGAAAAUACCAGCAAGUACCUGCCAG